rnacentral:rRNA from 1 species
UUGUCCUACGGGGCGCAGCAGUGAGGAAUAUUGGUCAAUGGGCGCAAGCCUGAACCAGCCAAGUCGCGUGAGGGAAGACGGCCCUACGGGUUGUAAACCUCUUUUGCCGGGGAGCAAGCCUGAGCACGUGUGGCGUUCCGAGAGUACCCGAAGAAAAAGCAUCGGCUAACUCCGUGCCAGCAGCCGCGGUAAUACGGAGGAUGCGAGCGUUAUCCGGAUUUAUUGGGUUUAAAGGGUGCGCAGGCGGAAGAUCAAGUCAGCGGUAAAAUUGAGAGGCUCAACCUCUUCGAGCCGUUGAAACUGGU